rnacentral:rRNA from 1 species
GACGGGGGGGCAAGUGUUCUUCGGAAUUACUGGGCGUAAAGGGCUUGUAGGUGGCCAACUAAGUCAGACGUGAAAUCCCUCGGCUUAACCGGGGAACUGCGUCUGAUACUGGAUGGCUUGAGUGUGGGAGAGGGAUGCGGAAUUCCAGGUGUAGCGGUGAAAUGCGUAGAUAUCUGGAGGAACACCGGUGGCGAAGGCGGCAUCCUGGACCGGCAUUGACGCUGAGGCGCGAAAGCUAGGGGAGCAAACGGG